rnacentral:rRNA from 1 species
GCUUGCUCCCUGAUGUUAGCGGCGGACGGGUGAGUAACACGUGGGUAACCUGCCUGUAAGACUGGGAUAACUCCGGGAAACCGGGGCUAAUACCGGAUGGUUGUUUGAACCGCAUGGUUCAAACAUAAAAGGUGGCUUCGGCUACCACUUACAGAUGGACCCGCGGCGCAUUAGCUAGUUGGUGAGGUAACGGCUCACCAAGGCAACGAUGCGUAGCCGACCUGAGAGGGUGAUCGGCCACACUGGGACUGAGACACGGCCCAGACUCCUACGGGAGGCAGCAGUAGGGAAUCUUCCGCAAUGGACGAAAGUCUGACGGAGCAACGCCGCGUGAGUGAUGAAGGUUUUCGGAUCGUAAAGCUCUGUUGUUAGGGAAGAACAAGUACCGUUCGAAUAGGGCGGUACCUUGACGGUACCUAACCAGAAAGCCACGGCUAACUACGUGCCAGCAGCCGCGGUAAUACGUAGGUGGCAAGCGUUGUCCGGAAUUAUUGGGCGUAAAGGGCUCGCA